AACGACUCUCGGCAACGGAUAUCUCGGCUCUCGCAUCGAUGAAGAACGUAGCGAAAUGCGAUACUUGGUGUGAAUUGCAGAAUCCCGUGAACCAUCGAGUUUUUGAACGCAAGUUGCGCCCGAAGCCUCUGGCUAAGGGCACGUCUGCCUGGGCG
rnacentral:rRNA from 1 species